AGAAAUUCAAAUAUUGAUGAUAUAUUUUUUCUGUCAUUUUCAACAAAGUAAGGUAAUGACUUUCCUGUCACUUUUUAACAAAAAAUUGAACCUAUGUUUUUUAUUUGAAUUUAAUUUCUAUUUAAUAUUAUUCAAUCCAUCAUCGAUCAUAAUCAAGCUUUCUAAAUAGACAUUUUAAUGCCCACAUACAAAAAUGCAUUAAAUUAUCAUAAAUCUAUUUUUCUAAGUAGUCGAUAAAUUAUAUUAUUUAAAGAAAAAGCUCAAGUUUAUUUUUUUUUUGUUUAAAAAAUAUUUCAAAAUAAGUGAUUUUGAAAUAUGUUAACGCCUCCAUUCAUCUACACAACAAAAAAACACACCUUUCGCUCAAAAACAAAAAUACAUAAUAACAUCAUACAAAACAAGAAAAACACAUAAAGAAAAAUCUUAUAGAUAAUUAUACUUAACAUAUCGAUAAACAACUCAAAUAUCUCUUCUUUAAUUUUCUGUGGGUUGGGUAUGGGUCUAGCUGAAUAUAAAAACGAACAGAACUGUUACCAGCUGUUCGAUAAUAAAUCUUUGGAAUUUUUGAAAAUAUUCAUGUAAAACAAUGCGGAGGAGUUUGAUUUUAGUUUUGUUAUCUUACUUUCAAGAACAUUUCGUGAAUAGACAAUAGAGUUUUUGACAGUUUUCAUGGUUUGUGUUUUCACGCGGAUGGCAACUAAUGGCUCUUAAAUUAUUUACCAAAAUGUCAAGAAAAAAGAAACUACUAUUUCUAAAUGUGUCAUCUUCCUAACUAAUGCCAAAGUCAACAAGAUGCUUAUUAAAAGUUCAAACUCAUUUUUAUUACCUCCCGCUGAACACAAAGUGUCAUAAAUUAUACCAAAAUCAGAAACAUCAAACGAAAUGUCAUCUUAAAAUAGCAAAAUACUUUUACUUUUUCAGAAUCUCAAAAUGAAAUGUCAGCGCGAAGGCAAAUCUUUUAAGUGCUACCAAAGUACAAAACAAAAUAAAAACCCAAAAAUAGAAAAAAAGAAAAAAGGAAAAUAGGUAAAUACAAAUAAAAAGCAAAAGCAAAUAAUAAUAAACUACUCUCCGUCUCCGUCCUCUUGCCAUUACCACUUCACCUCAAUAAUAACAAACAAUAAAACAAAAACAAAAAAAACUUUGGUACACACUCACAAAAUGGGGGGAAACAUUAGAGCAGAGAAAAACUAAAUUGACAUUUCAUAACCGCACACUGAUGACACUGAGUCCCCCCAUUUCGUUUCGUUUUACCUCUUUAUUAUUUCCGAUUCAAUGAAAUGACAGAUCGAAAGAAAGAGAUUUUCCUCCUAUUUUUUUUAUUUGUCUUUUAACUCGAACUAGGUUGACAAAUAAAACUGACUUUGACACUACUUAUGUAUAUGAAAUGUGCACAGGCACACCGUUAAAAUUAAAGAACUCUUUGAUGCUUUUAAAGUUAAAAUCUUUUUUGUGUUUUUAAAUGUUGCCUGGCCAGGAAGAGGCAGAGGCAGCACUUGAAAGUUCCAUCAAAGCGAAUCAUUAAGAUUAUCACGUCAUGGCCGUGAAGAGUUCAUUAGAAAGAAAUUCUUUCAAAAUACGAAAAAGUAGAUUAAGAUUAGUCGAGCGGGGCUGGGCUGGGCUGUGAUGUGCUGUGCCGGGAUCGAGAUUGAGUAUUGGGAUGGAAUGCGUGGGGUGGAAGAAUGUAGCGUAGCGGCUGUGGUGAAUGCGACGUGGCGUGACGCCGCCGCGUUUCACGAAAUAAAAAAGAAGAAAAUUAAGAUGAAAGGAAUUCCAGUGGUGGAUGUGAUAGCGGCAUUUGAAGCGGUCUGAUGAUGAGUGCGGCGGACGCAGAAGCAAACCUAGCGGUUGGUAGACAAAAGUUCGCUUAUAAGAGAGGGCGUUCAUGUGAUGUGCUGUUGCUGGAAACGGAAAGUAGCAAACUAGUUGGCUUGGUUUGGCUUCGGCCGGAAUAGGCAUCGGCAUUUGGUUUGGCGGCCGUGUAGAUAUGAAGUGGCAGACCACUCGAAAACCUUUUAAGACUUUUAUCUCCAUCACGCAGUAAAAUUGCUUUCAUCCUUGUUUCUGAGUGUAUUAUUAUUUUUGAUUUUUAUUUUUAUUUGUAUUUUAAAAGACAGAACAAAAUAAAGAUAGUUUUUAUA